rnacentral:rRNA from 1 species
GGUUAAGCGACUAAGCGUACACGGUGGAUGCCCUGGCAGUCAGAGGCGAUGAAGGACGUGCUAAUCUGCGAUAAGCGUCGGUAAGGUGAUAUGAACCGUUAUAACCGGCGAUUUCCGAAUGGGGAAACCCAGUGUGAUUCGUCACACUAUCAUUAACUGAAUCCAUAGGUUAAUGAGGCGAACCGGGGGAACUGAAACAUCUAAGUACCCCGAGGAAAAGAAAUCAACCGAGAUUCCCCCAGUAGCGGCGAGCGAACGGGGAGCAGCCCAGAGCCUGAAUCAGUGUGUGUGUUAGUGGAAGCGUCUGGAAAGGCGUGCGAUACAGGGUGACAGCCCCGUACACAAAAAUGCACAUACUGUGAGCUCGAUGAGUAGGGCGGGACACGUGGUAUCCUGUCUGAAUAUGGGGGGACCAUCCUCCAAGGCUAAAUACUCCUGACUGACCGAUAGUGAACCAGUACCGUGAGGGAAAGGCGAAAAGAACCCCGGCGAGGGGAGUGAAAAAGAACCUGAAACCGUGUACGUACAAGCAGUGGGAGCACGCUUAGGCGUGUGACUGCGUACCUUUUGUAUAAUGGGUCAGCGACUUAUAUUCUGUAGCAAGGUUAACCGAAUAGGGGAGCCGAAGGGAAACCGAGUCUUAACUGGGCGUUAAGUUGCAGGGUAUAGACCCGAAACCCGGUGAUCUAGCCAUGGGCAGGUUGAAGGUUGGGUAACACUAACUGGAGGACCGAACCGACUAAUGUUGAAAAAUUAGCGGAUGACUUGUGGCUGGGGGUGAAAGGCCAAUCAAACCGGGAGAUAGCUGGUUCUCCCCGAAAGCUAUUUAGGUAGCGCCUCGUGAAUUCAUCUCCGGGGGUAGAGCACUGUUUCGGCAAGGGGGUCAUCCCGACUUACCAACCCGAUGCAAACUGCGAAUACCGGAGAAUGUUAUCACGGGAGACACACGGCGGGUGCUAACGUCCGUCGUGAAGAGG